CAGGCAGGGAGUAGGAGGGAGAAAGUCUGAACACUGGCUAGAAGCGGCCCUUCUGCUCCCACAGGCACAGCCACAGUACAGCACGGAACAAAUGAUUCAAACUCUGCUCCACAGCCUUCACCUGUGAACCCCGAUGUGUGCGGUGGAAACCGCUCCAAUGCUACCCGCCCUCGUAUCUCAGGUAAAAAUCAAAGAUGCAGGAAGUCUGACUACUUUUACGGGGGAAAGCACUCUCCCAAAAUGAUAAGAAGAACAGAAGAAAACAAAAACCAAGAUAUUUUUAAUGGACAGUUAAGCCAUAGGAUAAAGCUCU
ensembl:lncRNA